rnacentral:lncRNA from 1 species
UGGUAUAAAAAUAAAAAUAAAUAAAAAUAGUGCGAGAAACUAUUUUUAUUGGAUUUAUAGAAGUAAAACACAAGUCAGAAGUGACUUGUGUUAAAAUCGGAAUGAAAACAGAAGAUCUAGAAUUUUCUGUUGGAAACGGGACAGAUAAAUUAGCAGAAAAUGCACAGUCUCAGAAAAUUAUGAAAAUUGGAGAAUAAGUCAGAAAUAUUUUUAUGAGGCUAGAUUUAAAGUUUCAUAUUUUUCUGAUACCCGUAGAGUGAGAAAUAAAAUUCGAGAGUUAUCUGAUAAAGAUUACAGUUCGGUACAGUUUUCAGUGACCAAACGGGGUCGAAACUGAAAACUUAAGAUAUAUUCUUACUCAGUACGUUAAACCGAGCCUGCCUGUCAAAUUUGAGCCCAAACGGACAUUCAGAAGGGCUCCGACUGUUCCGAACUGCUAAACUGCCCUGGAGUGAAU